CACUACGUAUCUUGGGUCAGUUCGUGUAAUAAAAAGACGAAUACACUCAGUAAGGCGACGUUAUUCAAGAAGCAACGACGUAUUUAAAAGCGAGGUUGUAGGAAAAUGUCAGGCUAAAAAUAAGAGUGAAAGUUUAGCUUCUGUUCACCUUCCUGUUGGUACAGCAUCUGGAAUCUAGCGCUGCCACAACGUAACUCCUGGAAUCUGGAGUUACGUUUGCCUGAAAAUAUCCAAAAUUCCAGAUACUGCAACAAGAGGAAGAAAAACUGUAGCUAAAUCCAACAUUCACAUCGAAUCAGACCUUCCUACUACAGCUACGUUAUGUGUAAAAACAGGAACAAAAACAAGGCCACCGAUUGUGGUUUCCGAGAAGAAUCUGACAGGAUUUACAACUGAGAUCCCUGGGAAGAAUAUAUUCGCGAGAUCACGCGAGUCAACAGUUACGUAAUCGAGGUGGCUUGUGCAGCAACACAAGCUGUGUCAGUGUUCACUUGAUCACAUAGUUACUCAGGUAGUAUAUGGCAUGUUGUUCAUACCAAAGCGAGCACUGACGUCUUAUUUAUGUCAUUUGAAAUAAAAACUCUAAAACAUUUGUAGCGUGGUUACCAGCCGCCAGAACAAGUUUUUCUGAACUGUAUAUUUAAAUAGACUUUCAGCCACAUAUUGAAACCAUUUCCUCCAAAUCCGACAGAAAUAUUUGCUAUUUAAAUUAUGCAAAUGUCUCCAUAAUCUCUAAACAUUUGACAAGUCAAAUUAAGUUUUGUGCGACAGUAUUUUCGUUUUAUUUUAAGAUCUAAAGAUAACAAGGCUUCUAAAUUUUCAAAAAGAAUUACUAUUGAAGAUUCUUUAAGAAGGUUGGAUAAAUUUGCCUAUAAAACUUUUGAUUUAAUGAAUUUUCAAUUUGAUAUUUCCAGAUGACAACUACAUAAGAAAUGAUUUUGUUUGCACGUGUAUUAUUAUGUUUACAAGUUGCAAUGUAUGGAUACUAUAAUUUUUAAUUAUAACGACCUUACUCCAGCUCUGUUAAAUUUUUUAAUCAAUUAUCCAUGCUGAAAUUAAUACCAUUCAGUUUUGAAAAACUACAAAUUUAUAACUAUUUUAAUUCAAAGUUUAAUGGAAGUAUUACGUUUAGUUUAUUAAGAAUCCUUAUUUGAGUGAGAACAAAUUAUUUAAUAUUAAUUUAAUAACUUAUUAUUGCCAGUAAAUGUUUACUGAUAUCCUGUACGGAUGAAUUUACUUAGAUGUUUACAAAAAAGCCAAAAUGAAUAUUCCGAUAGGUGUACAUUAAAUCCUCCUCAUAAUUAUCAUUCAUUCGCACUGUUUACUUCUAAUACUUUUCUUCAGAGUAGACGACUGGCCGUGAAAUAUCAGUUUAUACAAUGUGAAUAUGUUUUACCUAAAUGAGCAUGUUUGUUUUCAUUUGUUUUCAAAGCUGUAAAAGAACGCAAUGCUGACGAGAGAGAACACUUUAGUAAAAGUAUACAUUUAUCAAAAGACUUUAUACACUAUCUAUCUAUUACCUCUGACGGUUUGGGCGGGGUUUGGACAUGCUCCAAGCACCCUGAAGUCACUAUUAAGCCAACUAUGCCAACUUAUUUAUCUUUAGUUCAAAUAAAAUAUAUAUUUGUAUUUGAAACAGUAAAGCAAGAUAAAACCAUAUGAAAAUGUAGUCAUUUAAGAAUUUUUAAAAAUUGAAAAUAGAAUAGUUUAGUGUAUUUAGGAACAUUGCACAUGGAAUCCAAGAUGUGGGAUAAAUAUAGACAAGCUGCAGCUCUGCAGCGGAUUGAUCUCACAGGAAGACACGCUCAUCACCAAGGUCAAAGCCACUGGGCGGUCUGACCUCCCCCAAGCAGUUAUUCGUUGAUGAGGAAAUGGUAGGCCGACCUCAUUGACACCUCACAUUAGGUAAUCGACACCGGUCCAGGGCCGUAUCUAUAUGCCUGAUCACCCUGGGGGGGGGGGGGCGCACUCAAAUUUCUCUAAGGUCCUUUAUUUGCUUUCAACUUGAAAUUUAAGAACGUCCUCCGGCAUAUUGUCCGUGUUAUUGAUACACAUUUAACAUAAUGAUGAAACAAGGAUUAAAUCAAUUAAGCUAUAGCACCUUGGAAUUCUAUAAACGUAAAGAAGUUAAUAAACCUCGGAUUAUUAUGGUUCCUUAUUUGAGUAAACACUCUAAUGCCUGAAGUUGAAGCCAAAUGUUUUCUAAUGGUCCUUAAACCCUGGCAGAGAGUGAAAAACUUACCACAUAAUUUCCGAGAUUUAACAUUGCACCCUCUGUACUGUCCCGAUGUAAAAUUCUACAAGGACUCCUAUAAAAGCCACCUAAAAAAAAAAGAAAAUAUUUCUCUAGUAUUACUGCGGCAAAUCGUAGUUAAUGAAAGAAAAUCCCUUCACAGCAUACUAACGUACCGAAUGACUGCACUCUGCCCCGUCUUACUGCUCCAGGAUAGACUCCACAUUGCCUCAGCAGAAAUUUCAUCUGAGCUGCAACGAAGAGCCAAGAUGGUGACGCCCACGCUCGUGAGUCGACAUAAUGUAAAGGGAAAUCAGGUUUUAUAAUUAACAAGUUCGUAUGCAAAAUUCCCAUCAAGCACACUCCUAUGACAUCAUUUAGUUCAUUGUAAUUCAUGUUUGGCAGCAACGUGGCAAUAAAUUAUUUAUUUUUAACAUCUAGAAAUGGUGCUUU